rnacentral:rRNA from 1 species
GAGAAGAAAGUGCGUGAGAGUAACUGUUCACGUUUCGACGGUAUCUAACCAGAAAGCCACGGCUAACUACGUGCCAGCAGCCGCGGUAAUACGUAGGUGGCAAGCGUUAUCCGGAUUUAUUGGGCGUAAAGGGAACGCAGGCGGUCUUUUAAGUCUGAUGUGAAAGCCUUCGGCUUAACCGGAGUAGUGCAUUGGAAACUGGGAGACUUGAGUGCAGAAGAGGAGAGUGGAACUCCAUGUGUAGCGGUGAAAUGCGUAGAUAUAUGGAAGAACACCAGUGGCGAAAGCGGCUCUCUGGUCUGUAACUGACGCUGAGGUUCGAAAGCGUGGGUAGCAAACAGGAUUAGAUACCCUGGUAGUCCACGCC